rnacentral:lncRNA from 1 species
UAGCCUAUUUUCGUUGUUAGCCACAUUACCCCGACCUAGCCUAGAAUAAGACUAUCCAUACCCUUGUUCUUAAAGUAUAGUGGAGCAUGACUUAGAGGGAAUUCCUUUUAAUCAAACAUAUUGCAGAAAUCAAGUGUGGGGGAAGGUUAUGUACACGAGUUGAAAGAGAAAAGAAAAAAAAACGUGAAAAAGAAGAAAAUGUGGAAAAAGAAAGAAAAAAGUUGUGAAAUAAGUGAGAAAGAACUCACAAGUAUUUGUUGUUGAAGAAAGGGUCCAAAAAGUUUGAAUAUGACCCUAAGUAUGUACGAAAUCCCUUUAGUGUUUCAAGUUAUUUGCUGCAUUCAAAAGUGAAUUCUAAGUGUCAAUUUCAUUAUUUUGCUUACUAUUGCUUUAAGAACUUUCGUUUAUCCUUAACCUUUCUUUGUUAGCCAAUACCCUUAGCCCCGUUACAACCCUUUGACUUUAUCUUGGUUGUUGUGUGUUUUGAUAUGUGGAGUUUGGGAUUGGUAUAAGCAUACGGUAUCCCUGGUGUUGGAAGUAUGCCCACAAAGCCACUCAUUUGAUGUAAUAACUUUUGGAAUACUUAAUGUAUUAAACUAUUAUAUGUUUAAUGAAGGGCAAAGCUUAUUGUUAAUCACUAUUUAUUGUAUCAUGUGUUUAAGCAAUAAAGGAAUCCAAGGAAUGUAUUUGAUCUAAGAGAGAAGUGAUUUAAGUAAGUUAGAUUAACGAGACAUUUCUCUUAUGUUCAUUCCUAAAACGUUCCUAGCCAUAGGAUUGCCAAUUGGGCAUUGACAAUCCGCUAAGGUUAGUAUGUGUUAUGUCAACUCAAGCGUGAGUAUGACUAGUCUCAAGUCAUUUAGUGUUGGACACUAAGACAAACACAUAGGUGCUUGAAAGAGUAAUCAAGUACACUGAACAACGAUAAAAAGAGAGUUUGAACAUACAUGUCAUGUAAGAACUCAAUAGUUGCAAUAUGCAAAGUAGUCCUUUGACCUGAGGCAUCAUAGAUGUCUAAUGGUUAGGUCCUUGAUCUUUGAUCAUGUCAAAGGCAUUCCAUCGAGAAUGUCCACGGCAUUGUUGGGGUCAAGCUAUCUAGUCAUGUAGGCAUAUGAAUGCACAACAAGGGAUCUCUAACCAUCCAUGGUGGAAGGAGAAUACUCUAAGAUAUGAUUCGGGAGUCUUUGGCCAAAGCAUACGAAU